CGCUGUCGUUAGAUAUUAGUAAAAGAAAGACGGCGAGGAUCGUGUUCUUUAUAAACGUUUUGGAUUCGUCGGUUCAGAUUUUAAUCGAGGAGCGAGAUUUUCGGCAGGCUUCUUUUCUUUCGAAUUGGACCGUGUAUCGCACGAUGUCUUCCCACUGGUUGCUUCGUCGCCAUAUGGUUGAUCAGCGCACGACUAGCAUAUGUCGAUGCGCACACUAUCUGUGGCGCGUGCGUUCAUGAUGAGUUAGCGUUCUGUUACACUGCGAUUACAUAUUGUGAAAAAGAGAAGAUGGUGAGCGAGAUUAGGAUUGAAAGUUCACUCAAUACAUCAACAAUAGAAACGUCUGUGUCUUCAGGUUUCUCAAAAACGUGACUUGUAAAGUCUGAUAAAGUGUAUUCGAAUAAGGCAGUUUUGCAGUAGAGGGAGAAUAAACUGAAUAUGUUGGUAAAAGAAAUGCGUUAAUUUGUAGUGUUCAAUUUCCUCUAGAAAUUGUAAAAGUCAUAAACAAUGUUUUAUAACGGAUAAUUAUAAAGGAUAAUGAAAAUACGAUUUCGAAUUGAAAAAGUAGCUAUCUAUGAUGGUGACUUUCAAACAUUGUCUUGCAAGACAAUGUCAUAGAUCAAAUAUCAGAAUAGUAUAGAACACCAUAAUAAGAUACAAUGAACAUAAUCUAGAUGUUAUAAAAAGGCUGUAUGUUCAACUUUCUUCCAUAGAGUAUUAACGAAUGACUAGCUACUUGUAAACUUUUCUUCAAAUGAUUGAUGUAAUUAUAUUAUAUGUCUCGUUCUCGAUAAUUAUAAUGUAGUCAUGCUUGGUAUGGUAAGAUCACAAAGUUUGACGCAUAAGGUUUUUAAAAAAAAAAACGAAGCUUCUAGAUAAGGAUCCAAAUGAAGGUCCAGAGUAAGGAUCCAAAACUAAAAGAAACGUGGUUGGAAUAGAAAAAUAAAGACCUGCCAGAGAAAAAUAAAAAAGAAAUCUUAGAAUCAUAUAAAAUUACACUGAAUCGUCCAAAAUAAACCUUGAGAUACUAUCACUGGUAUCAGAUGUUGCUAAAAAAAGAGACCAACACUUUUUGGACACUCAGAAAUGUUUCGGUACCAUCAUAUGAGCGUUGGGGGCGGCAGUUUCUAUUUUAAUAGAUCCUCCGAAAGACGGUCUAUAUGAGGAUAUAUUUAGGGAUUAUAUUAAUCACGCUGGGCAGAUAUUAACGGAUCUCUUUCUUCAACAGACUAAAGUACGAAAAUCAUUUAUUACAUCACAACUAAAAAAAAAUAUUAAACCAGUGAUAGACUCAAUGAUUUCCAAUGAAUGGUUGUAUGAGAACAAGCUCAAGGAAAUGGUUAUAGUUGCUAAAGAGAUAGAGAAUGCUUAUGCUGAAAUUAAGAAGCCCCCAUCGAAAACAGCAGCAAAGUUUCAAAGUCAGUGAAACUCGAAAUACCCACCGGUGAAUUACCGUCCGAUAGGUCAACAAUAAAAACGCCUGUUAAAAUUCAAAUCAAAGACGUACAGAGCCCCACGAAAUUUGCCCAGAACAAUAAUUCGAAAGACAAGCAACUCAUCAUCGAGAAGUAAUAAAUGUAAUUAAAACAGCAAGUCGUUUAUCCUUCUAUAUGGAGAUAUGGAAAGAAAUUACAGCUGAUAAAUAUAUGCUCAGCUAUUUAAACUAUUUAAGGUAUAAAAUACCAUUUACAGAGAUACCGAUCCAAGAGACUGUACUGAGGGAAAAACUUUUCUCUAGAAGGCAAAGCGAAAAUUAUAGAAAUUAAGAAAAGAAUAAGAAAAGGAGCUGUCAAGGAAUGCAAGGACUACAAUACCACGGCUAUCGUGUACGUAAAUAAGCCCAGAGGAGUCCAGUAUCCACACCUUAGUGAGCUGUCAAGAAAAAUUUGGGAGUGAUGUAAAGAGAAAUGGAUAUGGUUAAAGGCACCAUACAUAGCAUUAGCAGAAAAUACUGAGACAAGUAGAGCAUCAGAGACAUGUGUAACAUAUUAACAUCCCACCUUUUGUUGGAAGAACAGAAAUUGUCAGGAUGGCGUAUGUACAGAAGGGACUUUUAGAAGAAACAGGAGAUAUAAUGAUAAAUUCUAUUGCACAGUCACUGAAGCAGUACAAGAGUAGCUUGAAACGAAGAUGGACUUUCACACACUUAAAUAAUCUUGAUUUAUUUAACUCAAGAACUACUGAUAUUAUCAAAUUCCUAAGUAUUCAAUUUAAAGAUGAAGCAAGCUACACUACGUUUAAUACUGCCCGAUCUACUGCAUCUUUAAUUUCAGCAUAUAAUAUUAACAAAGAUGGAUUAAUAUCACGUUUUAUUGAAAUCAUAUUUAAACAAAGACCGUCUAAGUCAAAGUAUUCUUCAAUGUGGGACAUCGAUUCUGUAUUGGAAUACGUAGAAAAAAUGCAUCCAAUUAAGAAAUUGAAAUUAAAAGAAGCUGCAGAAAAAGUAGUAACAUUAUUGGUAUUAACUACAGCUCAAAGACUUCAGACUUUAGCAUUUAUAGAAUUGAUAACAGAAAAAACUAACAUAGAGAUAAAAAUUAACAUAACUGAAUUGAUUAAGACAUCAAAAGCAGAAACAUUUUCCCCGAAUUGAUUUUACCCGUUCGCAAUAGUAAACCAGGACUGUGUGUGGCCCCUACUGUCCUAGAUUUCAUAGAUUGUACUAAGAAAUUAAGAGAUGAUUAGACAACGAAUUUGUUCAUUGGAACUACAAAACCGUUUGGAGCGGUUAUAGCCAAAGGUCAUAUAGGUCACUGGAUCAAAUCAUGGUUGAAAAACAUAGGAGUUGAUACAAAUCAAUUCACGGCAUAUAGCACACGCUAUGCAGCAUACAACAGAGACAUUACAACAAUAAGAUGCAGUGCUGGGUGGUCGACUAUUUCUCAAACCAUCUUUCAAUUUUAUAAUAAAUCCAUUCAGGCUUCCAAUGGCCAAUUUGCA